AUGGAAAACUCAUUUUUGGAGCGGUUCUGUGGAUUAUUGUUAGGAGCCUCUUCUAUCAUUUUUGCUGUACUAGCCAUUAUCAUAAUCGUAAACACCAUCCUCUGUCUCUGUCUCUCUGUCUCUCUGUCUCUCUCUCUCUCUCUCUCUCUGUGGCUUGUACGGUUGGAGAUGUGAAGUGGCUCGUAGUGAUAAUCCAGUGGUUAACCGUCAAUGACCAGAUAUAGCUAUGAGAUCUGAAGGCUUGCCCAGGGACAUUUGUUCCUUUUAAGAUAUGGUUAUUGAAUCUUAAAUCAUUUUUGUUCCUCAGUUAUUCUAUGGUUGUAUUUUCUUGGUUUCCACAUUUUUUACACUCCUCCUUUAUUAUGUCCUUUAUUUACCAUUGCAUCAAAGUUGCGACUGCGUUUUGUUGUAGUAGUGAUGCUGUGUUAACGAUCAGAUCUACUCUUUUGUCUAUUCUGUGUCUCCAUGAUAUAACUGUAGAUGCCCACUCGUUUUUGUUUUUUUAAACUGUGUAUUUUCUAGUGUGGCUAUUUUACUGCCUCAGGACGAUGGUUCAAUUUUUAUUAGCCUAAUGAUGGAAAACUCAUUUUUUGAGCGGUUCUGUGGAUUACUGUUUGGAGCCUUUUCUAUCAUUUUUGCUGUACUAGCCAUUAUCAUCAUCAUAAACACCAUCCUCUAUCUAUCUAUCCAUCUCUCUCUCUCUCUCUCUCUCCCCCCCCCCCCUCCCCCCCCCCCCCUCUCUCGGGCUUGUAGUGUUGAAGAUGUGAAGAGGCUCAUAGUGAUAAUCCAGUGGUUAAUUGUCAAUGACCAGACAUAGCUAUGAGAUUUGAAGGCUUGUCCGGAAACAUUUGUUUCUUUUAAGAUAUGUUUAUUGAAUCUUAAAUCAUUUUUGUUCCUUAGUUAUUCUAUGGUUGUAUUUUCUUGGUUUCCACAUAUUUAUUAUGCUCCUCCUUUAUCAUGUCCUUUAUUUACCAUUGCAUCAAAGUUGCGACUGCAUUUCGUUGUAGUAGUGAUGCUGUGUUGACGAUCAGAUCUACUCUUUUGUCUAUUCUGUGCGUCUGCAUGAUAUAACUGCAUAUGCCCACUCGUUUUUGUUUUUUGUUUUUAACCGUGUUUUCUAGUGUAUCUAUUUUGCUGUCUCGGGAAGAUGGUUCAAUGUUUAUUAGCCUAAUGAUGGAAAACUCAUUUUUGGAGCGGUUUUGUGGAUUAUUGUUAGGAGCCUUUUCUAUCAUUUUUGCUGUACUAGCCAUUAUCAUCAUCGUAAACACCAUCCUCUCUCUCUGUCUCUCUGUCUCUCUGUCUCUCUCUCUCUCUGUCUCUGUCUCUCUCUCUCUCUCUCUCUCUCUCUCUGUCUCUCUGUGUGGCUUGUACGGUUGGAGAUGUGAAGUGGCUCGUAGUGAUAAUCCAGUGGUUAACCAUCAAUGACCAGAUAUAGCUAUGAGAUCUGAAGGCUUGCCCAGAGACAUUUGUUCCUUUUAAGAUAUGGUUAUUGAAUCUUAAAUCAUUUUUGUUCCUC
rnacentral:lncRNA from 1 species